rnacentral:SRP_RNA from 1 species
UAUUAUUAAUGCACAACGUUUAUGCUUGAAACAGGUCAGAAUUGGGAAAUAGCAGCCUUAAGAGCCUCUAAGCGUGUGUGCAUUUUUAUAUGUUUC